CGCAUUCAUAACAUUGUAACCCGUGCUGUCAGGGCCACAACCCUUUGCAGAGCCCACCUGUGGCGACCUGUCACAACCACCGGUCCGAAGGAAACAUUCGCUUCUCGGGGAAACGACGCUCUCUCCGAGGUCCCUUUGUCGCGAAUGUAACAGCAUCAUUUGCAACUUGGACACCAAGAAAGGAACCGACAGGCGCAGCACGGAAAGACAAUUCUAAAGGCGGCCUUUCUUGCACUGAUGUCCGACGGCUGAGUUCCACUUCACACGGAACAGAAAGAACCGAGUGUAGCAAGAUCCUAUGCGUCGAACGGCUUGAAAGUGAAUCCAAGAAGCCAAGACAGUGAAGUUCCAAACAGGCCGUUUUGUUUUUAUGCCUGCACACUCUAACAACAGAACUUUACCGUAUAGCACGCUCUGCAUCAACCAUUGCCACGCAUGAUUCGCUUCCGAUUCGAGGGGACGGGACGUACGCGUUUUUGUGGCAAUUUGGAUAUAUAGUAAUUGACACGAAAAGGCGUACGCCCCCCCCCCCCUCCCCCCCCGUCUUCGGAGCGAUAACCCUAUCAUCCGUGGCAAUGGUUUGCACACAACAUGCUAUGCGAUGAAGUUCUGUUUUUCGAGUUCCGUUUCUGUUGAGCGGGAUGAAAGCCAAGCAGACGUACAACUGGAAGGGCAUGGCUCUGUCCAAGCAGACUGUAAGCUAUGUGUAGCGAAAGACAAAAUGAACGACCUUCUUUAUUUUUUGUUUAGAUACAGCGUG